rnacentral:lncRNA from 1 species
AGUGGGAAGUGCCACCGUCGAUUUGUGGAGCCUGUGGAGUUUGUCACCUCUUCCCAUCAUCCCGUGGCCCAUCCUGGGGGGGCUUUGGUGGCCCCCCCUGCCCUGGAGAUCCGUAACUUCCAGCCCCUCUGAACCUGCAGUUUGGAGUUUUAAGGAAACCUUCCCCAGCCCUGAGCCUCUGGGUUGGAACAACUGUAAAUAUUUGUUUGGAGGGAGGGAAAACUCUUUGCGUUGCUCGUUUGUUCCGUGCUGAUUCCGUUCCCUUUACCUGGCGGGGUCCUGCCGCUCCCGGGGGACGAGCGAGGGGUCUUGGCUCUGGAUUUGGGACGAGCUGGGCCCUUUUCUCCAGAGGAGGGGCCUGAAGGAUCUCUGAGCAUCCAGCAGGGCACAGAGGACGGGCUGGUGGCCGUGGCCUCCGGUGUCCAAGGCUCCCCAGCCCAGUGCAGCUCCGUGGCUGUCGGGGGCGAUCGCUGUUGUGUAACUCGGGUGCCUGUUCCGACAGGCUCCACGCUGGAAUAUUUUCCUCCUCCUCCCCAGCCUCUCACUCUUCGGGUUCUGCAUUCCCAGCCGACCGUCAGAGGGUAAUAACUGUGUGUGUCUGCAGAUCUGGACUUGUCAGAGCCACGGAAAAUGGCUUUAAACCUCACCUGGGCAGCAGGGAAGGCUGGAAAAACAUCCGAAUUUCUGCAGUGCUGGGGAGCCUGAGCCUCUGUGUGCCAGCAAACAGAGCAGAAAACACCCCUCCAGCCCCUUCCUUUCAAAAAAAAAAAAAGGAAAAGAAUCAAGAAAGGUGCCUCUGCAGUGAUGGUUCUGGGGUGUUGCGGGUCAGCUUUGCUCGAAAUAAAGCAGCAAACCCACCGUGGGGAACGAUUUGGGGCAGCAGAUUUUAUCAUUAACACCUGCUGCAAAUAUUUACCCGGUUAAAUCAGGCAAACCCCGCGCCGGCCGCGACCGCCGUCCUGCCACUUUCCAAGAAAGCCUUUCUCUGACUGGAAAUUAGAAACAGUGUCCAACAAGCAUUCUUGAACUCCUCCAGCUCCUUGGCCAGACAGCUUGGGUUGGGUUUUUUUUUCUUUUUCUUUUUUUUUCCCCCUCUCCCUGGCGCUGCCAGGAGUGGAUGCUCCGGAAACGGCUCUUGCGAAAGGAGCGAAGGCAAACGUCAGUUCUGUCAGCGAGCAAAGUUCACUGGGCGGUGGUGACCAGUGGGAAUGUGUCUGCCCUGAGCAGAGCAGGCAGGAACUGCUCCUCCAGAGGGUUUUACAGGGAUGAAAUGCCAGGUGGGAGCUCUCUUGUCCCCUUGAUUUAAGCCCCUGGCUCUCGGCCUCCCUGUGCUUUGCUUGCAGACAUGUAUUUGUUUAUUUUCAGCAGCAAAACAGCCUUCCCUGCACUUUAAAUCCCCUUGGUAGCCUUGCUGCCUUCUGUGGGCUUUUUGGAAGUACGGGUGGGUUGCUGGAUGUGGGAAUAGAGACCACACAUUAAACAGCUUGUUUGUACUCUGGAAAAGCCAAUUGCCUGAGAAAAGCCAGGGUGGGUUUG